rnacentral:misc_RNA from 1 species
CGUAGGUGAACCUGCGGAAGGAUCAUUAAUGAGUUGUCAUGGGGUUCGAUGCUGGCAGCCAAUUUUUGGAUGCAUGUGCUUGCCCUAACAAUCAUCUUCCAAACACCUGUGCACAUUUUUGAGGGAGUCUUGAGUUGGUUGCCGCUCUUGGGUGAUUUUCUCACAUUCCCUUAAAUCAUUAUACGCUAUUAACAAUGUUGAACGUGCUCUGUGCCGCAAGGCUAUUAAUAUAAUACAACUUUUAACAACGGAUCUCUUGGCUCUC